rnacentral:misc_RNA from 1 species
AAGUCGUAACAAGGUUUCCGUAGGUGAACCUGCGGAAGGGUCAUUAACACGUAUCCAAACGUUAAAACCCCGCGAAGUUUGCAAUCUCUGGUAAAUCAUAGCUCGGAAAGUCGCAAUUUGCGACGGGCAGGAGCUAUGCCAAAGGGUCCCCAUGCCCCCUUAUAACCUCACAGUUUAAUGUGAAGCUCAAUGUAAUACAUUGGGUAAAGAAAUCGAACAACUGUUAACAAUGAAUAUCUUGGUUCUC